CUCUCAGCACAUGAAGGACGAUUUUCAUGAGGUGGAAAAUCUGCAAGAAACUCAGAGAGAAAAUGUCAUAUCAGCUAAAUCAGUUCUACCCGGGCAACCCUGGUGUGCAUAAUCGGUCAAUGGAAGGACAGACACCAUUGUCACAUCCCUCCAUAUCCAAGAAGGAAUGUGUUCUAACUCUAAAGCAAGAGCACACUUGGACUCAAGUCUCCAGGUCCACAGACAAGGUGGCGUCUCAAGACUUUUUCCA